UACGAAGGGGGCUAGCGUUGUUCGGAAUUACUGGGCGUAAAGCGCACGUAGGCGGAUAUUUAAGUCAGGGGUGAAAUCCCGGGGCUCAACCCCGGAACUGCCCUUGAUACUGGGUGUCUUGAGUGUGAGAGAGGUAUGUGGAACUCCGAGUGUAGAGGUGAAAUUCGUAGAUAUUCGGAGGAACACCAGUGGCGAAGGCGGCUCACUGGUCCAUUACUGACGCUGAGGUGCGAAAGCGUGGGGAGCAAACAGG
rnacentral:rRNA from 1 species